AACAAGUCUUUGCUACUGCAAACACUCUACCCCAAAUUCCUCCGCAUCUUUUGCACUAUUAUUGGUUGUUUUUAAGUUUAAUUUCGAGACACAGCACGGAACUAUAUAUCAGUGAGACCAAGCACAGGCACGGCGAUUGUUUUGCUGAACAAAUCCGCUCAGUGUACCUGGCCUAAACGAUCUCCCGUUUGCUAAACACUUUAACUCCCCUUCCCAUAUUGACCUUUCUGUCUUGGGCCUCCUCCACUGUCAGAAUGAGGUCCAGCGCAAAUUGGAUGAACAGCACCUCACUGGGGUUUUUCCAUUUAUUGAUUGUUUUGUUUAUUAUGUUAUUUGAGUACUGUGGCUACAGGUCAGUUAUGUUGCUGCCGAUGACACCACCAUCAAAUAAUGAGACAGAGUAUAAGAAGGAGAUCGAGAACAUCGUGUCGUGGUGUCGAGACAACCUUUCAACGUCGCCUGUUCCUUCUCUCCAUAGAUGCUGCCUCACCCGCUGAGUUUCUCCAGCAUUUUUACCUUAGAAACGUAAUCAGUAGUUUGGAAAAGUUUAAGUAAACCUAACUGUUUUCACAUUGUUAUUUAUAGUCACUACACUAUAGUCAUCUGCUGGUUUUAUAGCAGUGAAUACAAUUAUAAAGUAUUUAUUUGGCCGAGAGUUGAUUUAGAAUGCAAAGGUUUGCAAUAGCCAUUACAUAAAUUCAACAGGUUCUCUAUCUUCUUUUAUUCUCCACUUCUAACAAUAAAGCCAAAGAUGCUAUGUGUCCUUUUAAAACAGCAAACCUAUCAACUGGUGCAUUAGUCUUGAAAACUUGGAAUUGGAAGAAUGAGAGUUGAUUGUAUUUAAAAUCAACAACUGGCUAAAUAUGCAGCAUUUCCACUCUUGGGGGCAGUCUCAACAAGAAGACAUAGAUACAAGUUGAGGGCCUGGUCAUUUAAAAUUGACAACUAUUAAAAUUGACUACAAUUUUAGAAUUUUACAAAUUUAGAAGUUUCUCUUCAAGAUACUUUCCACAUUACAUCUGUAGACAUUUAUUAAGAGCAUUCAGAGAUUUGCCAAAUCUUAUUACAUUUCUAAGUAGAGAUGUUGCCGUGCCUGCUUCAUGAUUUUGUCUGUGUUCUGGGCCCAUGACACGUCAUCUGAGGUGUUAACAUCCAGGAAUUCGAAGCUGCUCACUCCCUCGCUAAAUGACCAAUUAAAACUGGAGCAGUUACCGAACUUUCCUUUUCUGAAGUCAACAAUUACUUCUAUUGUUGUUGACGUUGAGCGAGAUUGCGUUGUUGCAGCACCAUCAAUCCUCACCACCCAUGAUUCAGCCAACCAUAAUGGUGUCAGCGGUGAAUUUAUAGCUGCCAUUGCAGCAGUGCUUAGCCACACAGUCAGGGUUCUAAAGAGAGUUGAGCAGAGGGCGAACACACAGCCCCUUAAGGUGCACCAGUGUUGAUGGUCAGGAAGGAGGAGAUGUUACCGAUCCACACUGCCACCCGUUGAUGAGCAAAUUGUUUGUUCAAACUGAAAUUCGAUCAAAAAUUAAUCUCAGAAAAAUGUUGAAAAUAAAGUUGUUUGUGCUGGAAUGGUGUGAGAUAUUAGUGGUGAGUAUCCAGGCCUUUCUUAGUUAUAAGAGCUGAAUUGAUCAUUUUAUAUUAGCAUGGUUAAAACCGCACCUGGUAUAAUUCAUCAAUGCCCUUUAGCAUAUUCAAAUUGUUCAUAAAACGAGUGUCUUUGAUAAUAGUUAAAAUUUCAAUUACCGAAUACAAACUGACUACAAGUGGGACGAGUGUAGAAACAGGCCCUUCGGCCCAACUUGCCCACACCGGCCAACAAUGUCCCAGCUUCACUCGUCCCACUUGCCUGCGAUUGGUCCAUAUCCCUCCAAACCUGUCCUAUCCAUGUCUGAAGAAGGGUUUCGGCCCAAAACGUUACCUAUCUCCUUCGCUCCAUAGAUGCUGCUGCACCCGCUGAGUUUCUCCAGCAUUUUUGUGUACUAUCCAUGUACCUGUCCAACUGUUUCUUAAACGAUGGGAUAGUCCCAGCCUCAACUACCUCCUCUGGCAGCUUGUCCUAUACUCACACCACCCUUUGUGUGAAAAAGUGACCCCUCGGAUUCCUAUUAAAUCUUUUCCCCCUCACCCUGAAUGUAUGUCCUCUGGUCCACGAUUCCCCUACUUAGGUAAGGGACCUACCCAAUUUAUUCCUCUCAUGUUUUUGUAUACCUCUAUAAGAUCACCCCUCAUCCUCCUACGCUCUAUGGAAUAAAGACCCAGUUGAAAUAACAAACAAUUGUAUCAUAAAUUAAGACUGCAGGUAUUAAGACUAGAUCAUUCGUUAAUUGGGAAGUUUAGAUUCAUUUUACUGUACAUCACUGGUACAAACCAAAGACCUGCUUUUGACUAAUCUAGGUCAGUUCUAUUUGUGAUUUGUAACAUAUCCAGUGUUUUGGUUUAAUUUAUCCCAUCAUGGUCUACUUUUUAUUGCAAUAUGAUCAUUGUGAGAAAAUUUAAAGAGAUUUCAGGAGGAAGGAAAGAAGAAAUAUCAUCCUCAGUCUGCCAUCUAGUGAGAAAAGAUAGGA